AUGAUCAUGUCUCAUAAUUCGGACAUUUCUCAGUCACAGCCCAAUAUUAUUUUUGGUAAAUUUCAAUCACGAGCUGUCAGUGAUCCGGCCUUAGUCAGUGGCAUUCAUUUUGGUAAAUUUGAAUCAGUCAUUACUACUGACAAGCCGUGCAAGGAAACAACAUUUAUUGGCAAUAAAUACCGAAAUGAAUGCUUGAAUUCUAUCCCAUCUCUUAUUCUGCUGCAUAUCCUGGACUUUCGACAGGCUGGCUAUAAUGAUUUGGAUAUUGCCAAAACGUGGGAUCUUGGCUCAGUCCCGCCCUCAAAUUUUAUCUACAAGAAAUUGAAUAUUUGCUCAAAGUGCCAUUCUAUGGGCCAUCUGGAGUGGGAUUGUCCCGAGCCUUCUGACAUCUUGGAUCAACAACAUUCUCAACAGCCCAUUGAGAAGCCUGCUAAUGAAAUUGGGCCCUCAGCUCCUUCUAGCCCAACAUGUGUAGUUUGCCUUUCGGAUGGGCAUGUGUCCUCUAUGUGUCCCUCAAAGCUUUAUUGCACGCAUUGUAGCCUGUUGGGCCACCAUUUCUCUGAGUGUGGUAAUCUUGAUUGUGUUUAUCUUUGGUGGCGGCCUAGGAUGGGCCCUUCUGCUGUCCAUUCCUUCCCGGCAAAUAUUCCAACUAAUCCGGCCCAGACUACUCAUAUUCCAUCUUCUGCAUUGGUCAUUACUAAUGCUGCUCUCCCAGGCCAUGUCAAAUCGCCGGUCAGUCGGAAUCAAAUCCCCACUUGCCCUGCCAUGCUCAAUGACCACUCGAGACUGCAUCAAAAACUCGUAAGAAAAUCAUCACAUUCCAUUAAUUGUGCCGCCUGCGGUCUGGCUGGACACUUGGCAACCUCCUGUUGGAGGAAGAGGGAGGCGGGGGUACUAGUUUGGCAACCCAAAUCAACCCAGCCUGCCGCUCUGCAUUCCACCUCCCCUGUUUCACCCCCUUCGAGCUCUCCUCCACCUGCAACAAUGGCCAACUACCCUGUGAAUGUCGUCCCCUACAUCCCCACGGGGAUGACGAUCGAGUUGGGGCCUCAGGACAGAGUGGUUCACGGCGACAUGGCGGUGCAUCUGGUGCCUCCCCUCAACCAUGAUUUCCUUGCCAUUGCCGAGGUUAACGGACAUGUUCCACACCAUCAGAAAGCAGCUCUAAGGGAGGUAAUCACUGGCCUGCUGCAUGAAUCACAUUUCUUCCCUUCUGAAGUAGAUGAUCACCCCAUGGGCAUUUCUAUCUUUGGGUUUGCCAAUCCUCUAGUACGAGAUAACAUUGUGGGAACAACCUUUGAGAUUGAUGCUGAGGUUGAAGGAGAUAUGAACACUAUCGUUUCUUUUGUGCCCCAUGAUGAAGCUCUGAAUAUGAGGCUCACCACCUAUGGCCCCGCAGUUUGGAUCUUGUAUGUAGGCUUCCCCUAUGAUUACCAGACUUACCAUUACCUGCAUAGAUCUGUGGACAGCUUCGGUAGUCUGAUUCAUUGGCAUAAUCCUAGAGGUGACAGAAAAUUUGUUCUGGUCCGUGUUAAAGUCAUUAACCUUUGCCUUGUUCCAAAGAGUUUAGUAAUCCGUCAGUUGGGAGGCGAUAGGCACUGUUGGACUAUUUGUGUCACCAUGCUGCGCAGCAGUGACUGGAACGCGCACCUACCUGAAGUUCCACCUGCAGGACAAGAUCCUCCCCCUGAUAAUGGCAUUCCACAUCCAUUGUGCGGUGAUGAACUUACUGCUAAGCAAUUGUACCAGAUGCAACUCAAUAACUGGAUUGCGCAGCAGGGGGCUGCCAAUAAUGCUGUUGCUGCAAAUAAUGUUGAAGGUCCUCAGAAUGUGGAAGUGGAAUUCCAACCAAACUAG
rnacentral:rRNA from 1 species